rnacentral:rRNA from 1 species
CGCUAGCUACAGGCUUAACACAUGCAAGUCGAGGGGCAGCAUGGUCUUAGCUUGCUAAGGCCGAUGGCGACCGGCGCACGGGUGAGUAACACGUAUCCAACCUGCCGUCUACUCUUGGACAGCCUUCUGAAAGGAAGAUUAAUACAAGAUGGCAUCAUGAGUCCGCAUGUUCACAUGAUUAAAGGUAUUCCGGUAGACGAUGGGGAUGCGUUCCAUUAGAUAGUAGGCGGGGUAACGGCCCACCUAGUCUUCGAUGGAUAGGGGUUCUGAGAGGAAGGUCCCCCACAUUGGAACUGAGACACGGUCCAAACUCCUACGGGAGGCAGCAGUGAGGAAUAUUGGUCAAUGGGCGAGAGCCUGAACCAGCCAAGUAGCGUGAAGGAUGACUGCCCUAUGGGUUGUAAACUUCUUUUAUAAAGGAAUAAAGUCGGGUAUGGAUACCCGUUUGCAUGUACUUUAUGAAUAAGGAUCGGCUAACUCCGUGCCAGCAGCCGCGGUAAUACGGAGGAUCCGAGCGUUAUCCGGAUUUAUUGGGUUUAAAGGGAGCGUAGAUGGAUGUUUAAGUCAGUUGUGAAAGUUUGCGGCUCAACCGUAAAAUUGCAGUUGAUACUGGAUAUCUUGAGUGCAGUUGAGGCAGGCGGAAUUCGUGGUGUAGCGGUGAAAUGCUUAGAUAUCACGAAGAACUCCGAUUGCGAAGCAGCCUGCUAAGCUGCAACUGACAUUGAGGCUCGAAAGUGUGGGUAUCAAACAGGAUUAGAUACCCUGGUAGUCCACACGGUAAACGAUGAAUACUCGCUGUUUGCGAUAUACAGCAAGCGGCCAAGCGAAAGCGUUAAGUAUUCCACCUGGGGAGUACGCCGGCAACGGUGAAACUCAAAGGAAUUGACGGGGGCCCGCACAAGCGGAGGAACAUGUGGUUUAAUUCGAUGAUACGCGAGGAACCUUACCCGGGCUUAAAUUGCAGAUGAAUUACGGUGAAAGCCGUAAGCCGCAAGGCAUCUGUGAAGGUGCUGCAUGGUUGUCGUCAGCUCGUGCCGUGAGGUGUCGGCUUAAGUGCCAUAACGAGCGCAACCCUUGUUGUCAGUUACUAACAGGUUCCGCUGAGGACUCUGACAAGACUGCCAUCGUAAGAUGUGAGGAAGGUGGGGAUGACGUCAAAUCAGCACGGCCCUUACGUCCGGGGCUACACACGUGUUACAAUGGGGGGUACAGAGGGCCGCUACCACGCGAGUGGAUGCCAAUCCCAAAAACCUCUCUCAGUUCGGACUGGAGUCUGCAACCCGACUCCACGAAGCUGGAUUCGCUAGUAAUCGCGCAUCAGCCACGGCGCGGUGAAUACGUUCCCGGGCCUUGUACACACAGCCC